GACGGACGCUGGCGGCGUGCUUAACACAUGCAAGUCGAACGGAAAGGCCCUGCUUUUGUGGGGUGCUCGAGUGGCGAACGGGUGAGUAACACGUGAGUAACCUGCCCUUGACUUUGGGAUAACUUCAGGAAACUGGUGCUAAUACCGGAUAGGAGCUCCUGCUGCAUGUUGUGGGUUGGAUAGUUUCGGCGGUUGGGGAUGGACUCGCGGCUUAUCAGCUUGUUGGUGGGGUAGUGGCUUACCAAGGCUUUGACGGGUAGCCGGCCUGAGAGGGUGACCGGCCACAUUGGGACUGAGAUACGGCCCAGACUCCUACGGGAGGCAGCAGUGGGGAAUAUUGCACAAUGGGCGGAAGCCUGAUGCAGCAACGCCGCGUGCGGGAUGACGGCCUUCGGGUUGUAAACCGCUUUCGCCUGUGACGAAGCGUGAGUGACGGUAAUGGGUAAAGAAGCACCGGCUAACUACGUG
rnacentral:rRNA from 1 species